GCUUGUUGGCGGGGUAACGGCCCACCAAGGCUACGAUCAGUAGGGGUUCUGAGAGGAAGGUCCCCCACAUUGGAACUGAGACACGGUCCAAACUCCUACGGGAGGCAGCAGUGAGGAAUAUUGGUCAAUGGACGAGAGUCUGAACCAGCCAAGUAGCGUGCAGGAUGACGGCCCUAUGGGUUGUAAACUGCUUUUAUAAGGGAAUAAAGUGAGCCUCGUGAGGCUUUUUGCAUGUACCUUAUGAAUAAGGACCGGCUAAUUCCGUGCCAGCAGCCGCGGUAAUACGGAAGGUCCGGGCGUUAUCCGGAUUUAUUGGGUUUAAAGGGAGCGUAGGCCGGAGAUUAAGCGUGUUGUGAAAUGUAGACGCUCAACGUCUGCACUGCAGCGCGAACUGGUUUCCUUGAGUACGCACAAAGUGGGCGGAAUUCGUGGUGUAGCGGUGAAAUGCUUAGAUAUCACGAAGAACUCCGAUUGCGAAGGCAGCUCACUGGAGCGCAACUGACGCUGAAGCUCGAAAGUGCGGGUAUCGAACAGGAUUAGAUACCCUGGUAGUCCGCACGGUAAACGAUGGAUGCCCGCUGUUGGUCUGAAUAGGUCAGCGGCCAAGCGAAAGCAUUAAGCAUCCCACCUGGGGAGUACGCCGGCAACGGUGAAACUCAAAGGAAUUGACGGGGGCCCGCACAAGCGGAGGAACAUGUGGUUUAAUUCGAUGAUACGCGAGGAACCUUACCCGGGCUUGAAUUGCAGAGGAAGGAUUUGGAGACAAUGACGCCCUUCGGGGCCUCUGUGAAGGUGCUGCAUGGUUGUCGUCAGCUCGUGCCGUGAGGUGUCGGCUUAAGUGCCAUAACGAGCGCAACCCCUCUCCUUAGUUGCCAUCAGGUUAAGCUGGGCACUCUGGGGACACUGCCACCGUAAGGUGUGAGGAAGGUGGGGAUGACGUCAAAUCAGCACGGCCCUUACGUCCGGGGCUACACACGUGUUACAAUGGCAGGUACAGAGAGACGGUUGUACGUAAGUACGAUCAAAUCCUUAAAGCCUGUCUCAGUUCGGACUGGGGUCUGCAACCCGACCCCACGAAGCUGGAUUCGCUAGUAAUCGCGCAUCAGCCAUGGCGCGGUGAAUACGUUCCCGGGCCUUGUACACACCGCCCGUCAAGCCAUGAAAGCCGGGGGCGCCUAAAGUCCGUGACCGUAGGGAGCGGCCUAGGGCGAAACUGGUAAUUGGGGCUAAGUCGUAACAAGGUA
rnacentral:rRNA from 1 species